UGGGGAAUAUUGGACAAUGGGCGAAAGCCUGAGCCAGCCAUGCCGCGUGUGUGAAGAAGGUCUUCGGAUUGUAAAGCACUUUAAGUUGGGAGGAAGGGCAGUAAGCGAAUACCUUGCUGUUUUGACGUUACCGACAGAAUAAGCACCGGCUAACUCUGUGCCAGCAGCCGCGGUAAUACAGAGGGUGCAAGCGUUAAUCGGAAUUACUGGGCGUAAAGCGCGCGUAGGUGGUUCGUUAAGUUGAAUGUGAAAGCCCCGGGCUCAACCUGGGAACUGCAUCCAAAACUGGCGAGCUAGAGUAGGGCAGAGGGUGGUGGAAUUUCCUGUGUAGCGGUGAAAUGCGUAGAUAUAGGAAGGAACACCAGUGGCGAAGGCGACCACCUGGGCUCAUACUGACACUGAGGUGCGAAAGCGUGGGGAGCAAACAGG
rnacentral:rRNA from 1 species